UCCGGUUUGUCACCGGCAGUCUGGCGUGAGUCCCCAACUUAAUGCUGGCAACACGCCACGGGGGUUGCGCUCGUUGCGGGACUUAACCCAACAUCUCACGACACGAGCUGACGACAGCCAUGCAGCAUCUGUGGUGCACCCUCGAAGGUCACACGUUUCCGUGCGCUUGCAGCACCAUGCCAAGCCCAGGUAAGGUGGGGAUGACGUCGGAGGAAUUCCA
rnacentral:misc_RNA from 1 species